rnacentral:rRNA from 1 species
AUACGGAGGGUCCGAGCGUUAUCAGGAAUCAUUGGGUUUAAAGGGUCCGUAGGCGGGAAUCUAAGUCAGGGGGGAAAUCUUGCAGCUCAACUGUAAAAUUGCCAUUGAUACUGGAUUUCUUGAAUGAGUGUGAAGUGGUUAGAAUGUGUAGUGUAGCGGUGAAAUGCAUAGAUAUUACACAGAAUACCAAUUGCGAAGGCAGAUCACUAACACUAUAUUGACGCUAAGGGACGAAAGCGUGGGGAGCGAACAGGAUUAGAAACCCCAGUAGUCC